AUAUUUACCUGGCCUGGGAGAUAUUAUGAUUAUGAAGGUAUUUUCCCAGGGUGAGACUUAUUUGUUGCACUUCAGAUGUGCCAACCACUGUGAUUUCCCCAAAGGUGGGAAACUUGACUGCAUAAUUUGUGGUUGUGAGGGCUACAGUCAUGCUCUCUCCCCUG